GAUUCCAACAGCUCUGUUUUAAAGAAUAAUUGUAUUGUCCUAAUUAUGCAUUUCAAUAUUCGAAACCACCUUACAUCUGCUUUGGAAGCAGGCAGAGUAAACAUCGUAAAUGCGUAUGUAAAAUCAUUAUGCUCCCUUUUUGUUCAGCUCUGGUCUCUGCUCUCCUGUGGGAGGAAAUAAAAGAGGAUGAAUCUGGCCCCGGCCCUUGAUGAGCUCACAGUUGGGGUGAGUGGUCGGGGAGAGAGGUGGCAGACUCUGGGCCUACUCUCCAGAGCUACAGGCAGGCUGGGGAGGAGAGUUGGCAGCCCCAGCCCUCUGUGUGCCACUUGGUGGGCGAGGGUGGGGUGGGCAACAUGCUAGAUGCCCCCAGAACGUCAUUCUGGCUAGCUGCAGGGCAGAGGCACGUGAUCCACAUUUCCUACGCCUCCGGCCUGAAUGCUAUUAAGAACGUGGACUCUGUUACUUAAUAGCCGUGACCUUAGAGGAAAGAGCCCCUGGCAUGGAAGCAAGAGCCUUGAAACUCAGAUCCUUGCUCUACCACCCAGGUUCUGGGGCAGAGGCAGCUAGAUCCGAAACUCCGUGGCAUCCUUCCUCUCACCUGAACGGCACCCCGUUCAACCAGGAAGAGAAUUCUUCCUGGAGGAGUCAGCAAGUCUUCUAGCCCACAACCAUUUCCAAAAUUCCUACAAAAUAACAAACCGUACAGCCAAGAGUCCACAAAACUCCAGGGCUACACAGGGGAAUAGUGACUGAGAACUCGCCGCAGGCCCUGGGACGGUCAGGGAGGCCUGCAGGGAGCCUGGGCAGGGUCAGUGUAGGCCCGGAAGGCUUCUCGGAGGAGGUGAUGUUGGCAGAGGCUGCCCCGGUGCCAGGAGAAAGCGGGGCUGGUAAAGCCGCGUGCGCUCAGCUCAUUCACCUCCUAUUGCAGAUCAGAGCAGGGAG
rnacentral:lncRNA from 1 species